UACGGAGGGUGCGAGCGUUGUCCGGAAUCACUGGGCGUAAAGGGCGCGUAGGCGGCGCGGAUAGUCGGCGGUGAAAGCCCGGAGCUCAACUCCGGGUCGGCCGUCAAUACUUCCGGGCUUGAGCACUGUAGAGGCAGAUGGAAUUCCGGGUGUAGCGGUGGAAUGCGUAGAGAUCCGGAAGAACACCGGUGGCGAAGGCGGUCUGCUGGGCAGUUGCUGACGCUGAUGCGCGACAGCGUGGGGAGCAAACAGG
rnacentral:rRNA from 1 species